CCGGACCAAGUGACGGUCCUAUCCGGACCCAUGACCAAUUUAAAAUUACAAGAAAAAAAGAAAUAUAUAUAUAUUUUUUCUUUUAUGAUUUCACUAUACAAAACAUGAUUAUGUUAAGCGAUUUGGAAUGACAAAAUGGCUUGCUCGAAAAUAAGGAAAGUUGACGCCGAAAACAGACAUUUUAAAGAUGAAUGGACUGACCAAUACAUGUUCAUUCUCCCGCAAGGCAGUACAAAACCUUUGUUGUGUCUUUUAUGUGUUGAAACCGUGGCGCUGAUAAAAAGCGGGAAUAUUAAGCGGCAUUACGAAUCCAAACACAGA